CGAUGAAACUGUCACGUCUGGUGAAACUCUGGUGUUCAAUGGCUACCUUGUUGACAUCGGUGAUCCUGAGGGAGAUAAUAACCCUAUUUCUGAUUCAAAUGUUGAUAAAGCACAUAAGAAUAUUGCACGGGGAUCUAAUAGGUUGAAUGGGUCAAACAUUAGAACUUCAGCAGGCGACAGUAAAAUUAACGUAAAGGAGAGCAAAGCACAUCAUGCUCUCAGCCCAUCACAAAAGAUUAUUAAAGAGUUUAAGAAGAGAGAGCUUCUUAAGUAUGGAUCACCAAAGAUCAGUCCGGAAACAACAAAACCCAACACAUCAGAGUGGCAGGUUUUGUACACUACACAA